rnacentral:rRNA from 1 species
GGUUAAGCGACUAAGCGUACACGGUGGAUGCCCUGGCAGUCAGAGGCGAUGAAGGGCGUGCUAAUCUGCGAUAAGCGCCGGUAAGGUGAUAUGAACCGUUAUAACCGGCGAUACCCGAAUGGGGAAACCCAGUGUGAUUCGUCACACUAUCAUUAACUGAAUCCAUAGGUUAAUGAGGCGAACCGGGGGAACUGAAACAUCUAAGUACCCCGAGGAAAAGAAAUCAACCGAGAUUCCCCCAGUAGCGGCGAGCGAACGGGGAGGAGCCCAGAGCCUGAAUCAGCAUGUGUGUUAGUGGAAGCGUCUGGAAAGGCGCGCGAUACAGGGUGACAGCCCCGUACACAAAAGCGCAUGUGCUGUGAGCUCGAUGAGUAGGGCGGGACACGUGGUAUCCUGUCUGAAUAUGGGGGGACCAUCCUCCAAGGCUAAAUACUCCUGACUGACCGAUAGUGAACCAGUACCGUGAGGGAAAGGCGAAAAGAACCCCGGCGAGGGGAGUGAAAAAGAACCUGAAACCGUGUACGUACAAGCAGUGGGAGCACAGGUUUACCUGUGUGACUGCGUACCUUUUGUAUAAUGGGUCAGCGACUUAUAUUCUGUAGCAAGGUUAACCGAAUAGGGGAGCCGGAGGGAAACCGAGUCUUAACCGGGCGUUAAGUUGCAGGGUAUAGACCCGAAACCCGGUGAUCUAGCCAUGGGCAGGUUGAAGGUUGGGUAACACUAACUGGAGGACCGAACCGACUAAUGUUGAAAAAUUAGCGGAUGACCUGUGGCUGGGGGUGAAAGGCCAAUCAAACCGGGAGAUAGCUGGUUCUCCCCGAAAGCUAUUUAGGUAGCGCCUCGUGAAUUCAUCUCCGGGGGUAGAGCACUGUUUCGGCUAGGGGGCCAUCCCGGCUUACCAACCCGAUGCAAACUGCGAAUACCGGAGAAUGUUAUCACGGGAGACACACGGCGGGUGCUAACGUCCGUCGUGAAGAGGGAAACAACCCAGACCGCCAGCUAAGGUCCCAAAGUCAUGGUUAAGUGGGAAACGAUGUGGGAAGGCCCAGACAGCCAGGAUGUUGGCUUAGAAGCAGCCAUCAUUUAAAGAAAGCGUAAUAGCUCACUGGUCGAGUCGGCCUGCGCGGAAGAUGUAACGGGGCUAAACCAUGCACCGAAGCUGCGGCAGCGAACGUAUCACUUAAAGCGAUUCAGCGGGUUACGAUUGACGGAGCGAAGCGACGUCAAAGCGUAUACAAAGUCGAGUCGGUUUAAGGAUACGUUCGUUGGGUAGGGGAGCGUUCUGUAAGCCUGCGAAGGUGGCCUGUGAGGGUUGCUGGAGGUAUCAGAAGUGCGAAUGCUGACAUAAGUAACGAUAAAGCGGGUGAAAAGCCCGCUCGCCGGAAGACCAAGGGUUCCUGUCCAACGUUAAUCGGGGCAGGGUGAGUCGACCCCUAAGGCGAGGCCGAAAGGCGUAGUCGAUGGGAAACGGGUUAAUAUUCCCGUACUUGGUGUUACUGCGAAGGGGGGACGGAGAAGGCUAUGUUGGCCGGGCGACGGUUGUCCCGGUUUAAGCGUGUAGGUGUGUGUUCCAGGUAAAUCCGGUUCACUUUAACACUGAGGCGUGAUGACGAGGCACUACGGUGCUGAAGUAACAAAUGCCCUGCUUCCAGGAAAAGCCUCUAAGCAUCAGGUAACAUCAAAUCGUACCCCAAACCGACACAGGUGGUCAGGUAGAGAAUACCAAGGCGCUUGAGAGAACUCGGGUGAAGGAACUAGGCAAAAUGGUGCCGUAACUUCGGGAGAAGGCACGCUGACACGUAGGUGAAGUGAUUUACUCACGGAGCUGAAGUCAGUCGAAGAUACCAGCUGGCUGCAACUGUUUAUUAAAAACACAGCACUGUGCAAACACGAAAGUGGACGUAUACGGUGUGACGCCUGCCCGGUGCCGGAAGGUUAAUUGAUGGGGUCAGCGCAAGCGAAGCUCCUGAUCGAAGCCCCGGUAAACGGCGGCCGUAACUAUAACGGUCCUAAGGUAGCGAAAUUCCUUGUCGGGUAAGUUCCGACCUGCACGAAUGGCGUAAUGAUGGCCAGGCUGUCUCCACCCGAGACUCAGUGAAAUUGAACUCGCUGUGAAGAUGCAGUGUACCCGCGGCAAGACGGAAAGACCCCGUGAACCUUUACUAUAGCUUGACACUGAACAUUGAGCCUUGAUGUGUAGGAUAGGUGGGAGGCUUUGAAGUGUGGACGCCAGUCUGCAUGGAGCCGACCUUGAAAUACCACCCUUUAAUGUUUGAUGUUCUAACGUGGACCCGUUACCCGGGUUGCGGACAGUGUCUGGUGGGUAGUUUGACUGGGGCGGUCUCCUCCUAAAGAGUAACGGAGGAGCACGAAGGUUGGCUAAUCCUGGUCGGACAUCAGGAGGUUAGUGCAAUGGCAUAAGCCAGCUUGACUGCGAGCGUGACGGCGCGAGCAGGUGCGAAAGCAGGUCAUAGUGAUCCGGUGGUUCUGAAUGGAAGGGCCAUCGCUCAACGGAUAAAAGGUACUCCGGGGAUAACAGGCUGAUACCGCCCAAGAGUUCAUAUCGACGGCGGUGUUUGGCACCUCGAUGUCGGCUCAUCACAUCCUGGGGCUGAAGCAGGUCCCAAGGGUAUGGCUGUUCGCCAUUUAAAGUGGUACGCGAGCUGGGUUUAGAACGUCGUGAGACAGUUCGGUCCCUAUCUGCCGUGGGCGCUGGAGAACUGAGGGGAGCUGCUCCUAGUACGAGAGGACCGGAGUGGACGCAUCACUGGUGUUCGGGUUGUCAUGCCAAUGGCACUGCCCGGUAGCUAAAUGCGGAAGAGAUAAGUGCUGAAAGCAUCUAAGCACGAAACUUGCCCCGAGAUGAGUUCUCCCUGAGACUUAGAGUCUCCUGAAGGAACGUUGAAGACGACGACGUUGAUAGGCCGGGUGUGUAAGCGCAGCGAUGCGUUGAGCUAACCGGUACUAAUGAACCGUGAGGCUUAACCUU